AGACAACUUUCUCCUUUACCUCUUCGGUAAUACGUUUCCCUCUCAUACCCUUUUCUCCAAAAUAUUGUUUCCAAACAUAAAAACCUUUUCUUUCUACAUGAUUCUUCAAGUAAAAAAAACCCUAGAUCUAACUAUAUUUUCAUUGCUGAUUGCCGAUGGCGAUGCUUAUCUCAAACAAUUAAUCUGCAGAUUUCUUUCAUAUAUUGCUUCUUGAAGUCGGUAAUUUUGUGCCCUGAAUCCAUAUUCAUGUUAAAUCAAGUGUUUAUUUGCUUAGAUGUUAUGAAAUUAAAACGAUUUGGUUUUUGUUUAUGUUCGAUAAUCAUUAUUAUUCUAGAGAUUUAAAACCCUAACUGUAUUUUAGGUUCCGAUUGACAGUUUCAGUCUCCAGCGAGGUUUCCGGCUAGCUCUGGUGAGGGGGUGCCUGGAUUGAAGGAGUGUCUUUUUUUGUGUUAUGAUAUAUUAUUUUUUAUGUUUUGUUUUUCAGUAGUCAUUUUGUGGGUAUAUCACCAAUAGAUGGAUGGAAUAUGUACAUGAAUCUGGAAAAGGAUGGACAGUCGCUUUUUAGUUUUAUUCCCAUGUUCUUAAAUUCCAAAAUGGAGUCCAGGGGGAUUUAGGGGGAUUUGAAUAUAUACUGUAGACAAUCAAUAAAGUAGUUAUCUCUAAUUUCUAAAGAGAUUUGGCUCACCACCUUGAAGUUGGAAGUUCCACUAAUUAACAUCACAGUCACAUUUAGCAGUGGAGGGAAGGAUUCCAAUAGUGGCGAUGUCGUCGAACAGAGGAAUCCAUAUGCAAAAUGUAGAAUGCAUCUUUUGCAACGACGGGUUAUCUAUUAAUUAUCGGCAGGUUUGCGGAAGGAGUAUGGUAACACAUAAAAAAGUUUGAUGAAUAUACCCUUGGGCCAAAACAGUGAUACAAUUUGUGAAAAAAAUGAGUAUGAACGACUUGGAUUUUUCAGCGGCUUGGAGAAGAUUGAUUCAUGCAGUCUAUGCUUUAACGAUGUCGAGAAUAUGGGAAACAAGAAAUGGGAAAGUGUUCAAAGCACGCUUACAUGAGAAGUCAUUUGUUCUUGAGGUCAAAACAUGAUAUAUGAAAUCACCUGCACUUGCAGCCAAACAUGAUGUUGUAGUGGCUGGAACAAAUAUUGGGGGGCCUGAGAAGUGAUUUCUGAUGUCUAAUUCUUAUAUUGAUAUGGAUUAGAGCAAGCACAUUUUUACUAUUUAAAAUAUGGUAUGACCAUUGUUAUAUUCCUAUAUGCUAUAUUUUUUACCAAAAUUUUCGCGUACCAUGGUACAAGCAAAGUUAUUAAAACCAAGUUUUUUUAAGAAUUUUUUAAAAUGUUCAUUUGGAACGUACCAAUGGGAGUGUUUCGAGUUUGACAAAUUCACAGUUGGAACUGAGGUGUGUAACAUCUAUCUCAUUCAACUUUCUAUCUCUCAAUCACAUUUAAAAUUACAAAUGAUGAAACCAUACAUUUGAUUGCGAAUUGCAGGAAACUGGAAAGAAGCUAGCUGAACUCAGUGGAAAGGGGGUAACACCAACUAUCUCAUUCAACUUUUUUAGACAUGUUGAUAGGUUUUCAUUUUGUAGAAACGGGUCAGGCCGGGUUAGGAGUUACAAAUGAAAGUUUUAGUUUCUUUAAAAUGGCUUUAUAUAUUUAUCUAAUUUGUACUUAAAUUGUUCUUUAAAUUAGCAUUAGAGAUGAGUUAAGAGGGGAAGAAAUUCA